CAGCCGGAUAAUCGCGCGGGGUAAAUUAAUACCUUGUGAGGAAAGUCCGUGCAUCCAAGGACAGACUGCCGGAGAAACUCCGGACGGCGUAAGCCGGUGGAUCGGACCACAGAAAGGGGUCGGGGGUAAAUAUACCUCUAACCCAAAAGACUGCCGAUGGAUUUUAUAUCACAGGCGAUGGUGCAAAGGUGAGGCAAGAGCUCACCGGAUAUACUGAGAAGUAUAUGCCAGGCAACCCCCAGUCGGAUGCAAGAUUGAAACAAGCGUUUGAGGUGUCCGCCGAGCUUGAAAAAUCGCUAGAGAUUAGGAGUAAUCCUAAUACCAGACAGAUGAUUAUCAGGGAGUUUUCCUGAACAGAACACGGCUUAUGAGCUGCUUU
rnacentral:RNase_P_RNA from 1 species